rnacentral:rRNA from 1 species
UUGUGGUCAUAUCAUAUUGAAACACCAGUUCUCAUUGCAUGAUCACCAAAGUUAAACAAUGUCAAGCCUGGUCAGUACCUAGAUGGGUGACUGCUUGGGAAUACCAGGUGUUGUAAG